UACGUAGGGUGCAGGCGUUAAUCGGAAUUACUGGGCGUAAAGCGUGCGCAGGCGGUCUGUUAAGACCGAUGUGAAAUCCCCGGGCUUAACCUGGGAACUGCAUUGGUGACUGGCAGGCUUUGAGUGUGGCAGAGGGAGGUAGAAUUCCACGUGUAGCAGUGAAAUGCGUAGAGAUGUGGAGGAACACCGAUGGCGAAGGCAGGUCUCUGGGCUGACACUGACGCUCAUGCACGAAAGCGUGGGGAGCAAACAGG
rnacentral:rRNA from 1 species